rnacentral:lncRNA from 1 species
ACAAUGAGAUAUUACCGGUUACUGGGUAAUAAACUCAAAGAGAGACAUGUUAUCAAAACACCGGUUACUGGGUGAGAGAACAACACGCUCAGGGAGAAAGAAUAUCUAAGACCGGUAUAAGGGUGAAAGAAUAUCAUCCGAAACAUCUAAGAUGACCCAGAAGGCACAUCUCAACUCAGGAAAAUCUAACUCCACAGGGGAUAAAAAGUCAUAAUAGGGAGAAGAAGGAAGGAACACCAUG